UAAUGUCAUCACCCACUGCAGGAAAAGCUGUAAUUUCCCACACACUUAAGGCACAGCUUGAUACAAACAGGAAAAAUGGUAGAAGUCUGUCACAGUUAAACGCUGCUAACGGACAGCGGCUAAAAGCUAGCAAGCUAACGGAGGAGAUGCGAAUCUGUCAAACAGAAGUUAAAGUAACAGGCAACGCUCCUAACAGUUUAGACAAGAUAGAAAUAAAAGUGAACGACCAGACUCGACAAAAAAAUAGCUCUAAAUUUGGUUGCCGACUUUACCGUUAUUCAGAAAGAGCCCUAACUAAAAACAACCGACGACCAACGUCGUUUUAAUCGCAUCUCAGACUGUAACUGAGGCAUCAACGUGAGGUGAAACAUUCAGGUAACGGUAACCUGGAAUAACACGGGGACGUUCAGCCCUGAGGUGACACCAACUUGUGCUGAUAAACUAUGUGCUUCAAUUAUUUAAAAGAAAAGAAGAGAAACAACGAUGAGACACGCUCCGACCACCAGGAGGACGAGCAGAAAGCAUGGUAUUGCAUCCAUCGUGGCUACGGACCAGACUGGCAGCCGACUGCUAACUUCUCCCUGCGCUGAGGAAGCUCCUCCUGAUGGACUCUUCUUUGACACCAAGGAUACCCUGGAGGACCCUCGAGUCCUGGACUUCCACGC